GGCUUCUUGGUGUAGUUGGUUAUCACACAUGCCUAACACGCAUGUGGUCGCCAGUUCGAGCCUGGCAGAAGUCA
rnacentral:tRNA from 1 species